UACGGAGGGUGCGAGCGUUGCUCGGAAUCAUUGGGCGUAGAGCGUACGCAGGCGGCCAUCCAAGUCGGGUGUGAAAGCCCAGGGCUCAACCCUGGAAAUGCGCCCGAGACUGAAUGGCUUGAGUGCGGGAGAGGGAAGCGGAAUUCCUGGUGUAGAGGUGAAAUUCGUAGAUAUCAGGAGGAACACCGGUGGCGAAAGCGGCUUCCUGGCCCGACACUGACGCUCAUGUACGAAAGCGUGGGAGCAAACAGG
rnacentral:rRNA from 1 species